AGCGUACACGGUGGAUGCCCUGGCAGUCAGAGGCGAUGAAGGACGUGCUAAUCUGCGAAAAGCGUCGGUAAGGUGAUAUGAACCGUUAUAACCGGCGAUGUCCGAAUGGGGAAACCCAGUGCAAUUCGUUGCACUAUCGUUAACUGAAUACAUAGGUUAACGAGGCGAACCGGGGGAACUGAAACAUCUAAGUACCCCGAGGAAAAGAAAUCAACCGAGAUUCCCCCAGUAGCGGCGAGCGAACGGGGAGCAGCCCAGAGUCUGAAUCAGCUUGUGUGUUAGUGGAACGGUCUGGAAAGUCCGACGGUACAGGGUGAUAGUCCCGUACACCAAAAUGCACAGGUUGUGAACUCGAAGAGUAGGGCGGGACACGUGGUAUCCUGUCUGAAUAUGGGGGGACCAUCCUCCAAGGCUAAAUACUCCUGACUGACCGAUAGUGAACCAGUACCGUGAGGGAAAGGCGAAAAGAACCCCGGCGAGGGGAGUGAAAAAGAACCUGAAACCGUGUACGUACAAGCAGUGGGAGCACCUUCGGGUGUGACUGCGUACCUUUUGUAUAAUGGGUCAGCGACUUAUAUUCUGUAGCAAGGUUAACCGUAUAGGGGAGCCGCAGGGAAACCGAGUCUUAACUGGGCGUUAAGUUGCAGGGUAUAGACCCGAAACCCGGUGAUCUAGCCAUGGGCAGGUUGAAGGUUGGGUAACACUAACUGGAGGACCGAACCGACUAAUGUUGAAAAAUUAGCGGAUGACUUGUGGCUGGGGGUGAAAGGCCAAUCAAACCGGGAGAUAGCUGGUUCUCCCCGAAAGCUAUUUAGGUAGCGCCUCGUGAAUUCAUCUUCGGGGGUAGAGCACUGUUUCGGCUAGGGGGUCAUCCCGACUUACCAACCCGAUGCAAACUACGAAUACCGAAGAAUGUUAUCACGGGAGACACACGGCGGGUGCUAACGUCCGUCGUGAAGAGGGAAACAACCCAGACCGCCAGCUAAGGUCCCAAAGUCAUGGUUAAGUGGGAAACGAUGUGGGAAGGCACAGACAGCCAGGAUGUUGGCUUAGAAGCAGCCAUCAUUUAAAGAAAGCGUAAUAGCUCACUGGUCGAGUCGGCCUGCGCGGAAGAUGUAACGGGGCUAAACCAUGCACCGAAGCUGCGGCAGCGACACUAUGUGUUGUUGGGUAGGGGAGCGUUCUGUAAGCCUGCGAAGGUGACCUGUGAGGGUUGCUGGAGGUAUCAGAAGUGCGAAUGCUGACAUAAGUAACGAUAAAGCGGGUGAAAAGCCCGCUCGCCGGAAGACCAAGGGUUCCUGUCCAACGUUAAUCGGGGCAGGGUGAGUCGACCCCUAAGGCGAGGCCGAAAGGCGUAGUCGAUGGGAAACAGGUUAAUAUUCCUGUACUUGGUGUUACUGCGAAGGGGGGACGGAGAAGGCUAUGUUAGCCGGGCGACGGUUGUCCCGGUUUAAGCAUGUAGGCUGGUUAUCCAGGCAAAUCCGGAUAAUCAAGGCUGAGGUGUGAUGACGAGGCACUACGGUGCUGAAGUAACAAAUGCCCUGCUUCCAGGAAAAGCCUCUAAGCAUCAGGUAACAUCAAAUCGUACCCCAAACCGACACAGGUGGUCAGGUAGAGAAUACCAAGGCGCUUGAGAGAACUCGGGUGAAGGAACUAGGCAAAAUGGUGCCGUAACUUCGGGAGAAGGCACGCUGGUGUGUAGGUGAAGUCCCUGCGGAUGGAGCUGAGACCAGUCGAAGAUACCAGCUGGCUGCAACUGUUUAUUAAAAACACAGCACUGUGCAAACACGAAAGUGGACGUAUACGGUGUGACGCCUGCCCGGUGCCGGAAGGUUAAUUGAUGGGGUUAUCCGUAAGGAGAAGCUCUUGAUCGAAGCCCCGGUAAACGGCGGCCGUAACUAUAACGGUCCUAAGGUAGCGAAAUUCCUUGUCGGGUAAGUUCCGACCUGCACGAAUGGCGUAAUGAUGGCCAGGCUGUCUCCACCCGAGACUCAGUGAAAUUGAACUCGCUGUGAAGAUGCAGUGUACCCGCGGCAAGACGGAAAGACCCCGUGAACCUUUACUAUAGCUUGACACUGAACAUUGAGCCUUGAUGUGUAGGAUAGGUGGGAGGCUUUGAAGCGUGGACGCCAGUCUGCGUGGAGCCAACCUUGAAAUACCACCCUUUAAUGUUUGAUGUUCUAACGUUGGCCCCUUACCGGGGUUGCGGACAGUGUCUGGUGGGUAGUUUGACUGGGGCGGUCUCCUCCCAAAGCGUAACGGAGGAGCACGAAGGUUAGCUAAUCCUGGUCGGACAUCAGGAGGUUAGUGCAAUGGCAUAAGCUAGCUUGACUGCGAGCGUGACGGCGCGAGCAGGUGCGAAAGCAGGUCAUAGUGAUCCGGUGGUUCUGAAUGGAAGGGCCAUCGCUCAACGGAUAAAAGGUACUCCGGGGAUAACAGGCUGAUACCGCCCAAGAGUUCAUAUCGACGGCGGUGUUUGGCACCUCGAUGUCGGCUCAUCACAUCCUGGGGCUGAAGUAGGUCCCAAGGGUAUGGCUGUUCGCCAUUUAAAGUGGUACGCGAGCUGGGUUUAGAACGUCGUGAGACAGUUCGGUCCCUAUCUGCCGUGGGCGCUGGAGAAUUGAGGGGGGCUGCUCCUAGUACGAGAGGACCGGAGUGGACGCAUCACUGGUGUUCGGGUUGUCAUGCCAAUGGCACUGCCCGGUAGCUAAAUGCGGAAGAGAUAAGUGCUGAAAGCAUCUAAGCACGAAACUUGCCCCGAGAUGAGUUCU
rnacentral:rRNA from 1 species